rnacentral:rRNA from 1 species
GUGGGGAAUAUUGGACAAUGGGCGCAAGCCUGAUCCAGCAAUGCCGCGUGUGUGAAGAAGGCCUGCGGGUUGUAAAGCACUUUCAGUUGGGAAGAAAAGGGUUGGGCUAAUAUCCCGAUCUCUUGACGUUACCGACAGAAGAAGCACCGGCUAACUCCGUGCCAGCAGCCGCGGUAAUACGGAGGGUGCGAGCGUUAAUCGGAAUUACUGGGCGUAAAGCGUGCGUAGGCGGUACGUUAAGUCGGUUGUGAAACCCCUGGGCUCAACCUGGGAACUGCAUCCGAUACUGGCGAACUGGAGUAUGGUAGAGGGGAGUGGAAUUCCGGGUGUAGCGGUGAAAUGCGUAGAUAUCCGGAGGAACACCAGUGGCGAAGGCGACUCCCUGGACCAAUACUGACGCUGAGGCACGAAAGCGUGGGUAGCAAACAGGAUUAGAAACCCUGGUAGUCC